GAUGAACGCUGGCGGCGUGCCUAAUACAUGCAAGUAGAACGCUGAAGGAGGAGCUUGCUCUUCUGGAUGAGUUGCGAACGGGUGAGUAACGCGUAGGUAACCUGCCUGGUAGCGGGGGAUAACUAUUGGAAACGAUAGCUAAUACCGCAUGACAACAGUUAUUGCAUGAUAACUGUUUAAAAGUGGCAACUGCUCCACUACCAGAUGGACCUGCGUUGUAUUAGCUAGUUGGUGAGGUAACGGCUCACCAAGGCGACGAUACAUAGCCGACCUGAGAGGGUGAUCGGCCACACUGGGACUGGGACACGGCCCAGGCUGCUACGGGAGGGAGCAGGAGGGAAUCGUCGGCAAUGGACGGAAGGCUGACCGAGCAACGCCGCGGGAGUGAAGAAGGUUUUCGGAUCGGAAAGCUCUGUUGUAAGAGAAGAACGAGUGUGAGAGUGGAACGUUCACACUGUGACGGUAUCUUACCAGAAAGCGACGGCUAACUACGUG
rnacentral:rRNA from 1 species